GUCUUCGGAUGAGUAGAGCGGCGGACGGGUGAGUAACGCGUAGGAAUCUACCUGGUAGUGGGGGAUAACUCGGGGAAACUCGAGCUAAUACCGCAUACGUCCUGAGGGAGAAAGCGGGGGAUCGCAAGACCUCGUGCUAUCAGAUGAGCCUGCGUAGGAUUAGCUAGUUGGUGGGGUAAAGGCCCACCAAGGCGACGAUCCUUAGCUGGUCUGAGAGGAUGACCAGCCACACUGGGACUGAGACACGGCCCAGACUCCUACGGGAGGCAGCAGUGGGGAAUAUUGGACAAUGGGGGCAACCCUGAUCCAGCCAUGCCGCGUGUGUGAAGAAGGCCUUCGGGUUGUAAAGCACUUUCAGCGGGGAGGAAGGCGUCGUGACUAAUAUUCACGGCGAUUGACGUUACCCGCAGAAGAAGCACCGGCUAACUCCGUGCCAGCAGCCGCGGUAAUACGGAGGGUGCGAGCGUUUAUCGGAAUUACUGGGCGUAAAGCGCGCGUAGGCGGCUUGUUAAGUCGGAUGUGAAAUCCCCGGGCUCAACCUGGGAACUGCAUCCGAUACUGGCGAGCUGGAGUGCGAUAGAGGGGGGGUAGAAAUUCCUGGGUGUAGCGGUGAAAAUGCGUAGAUAUCAGGAGGAAUACCGGUGGCGAAGGCGGCCCCCUGGAUCGACACUGACGCUGAGGUGCGAAAGCGUGGGCAGCAAACAGGAUUAGAUACCCUGGUAGUCCACGCCGUAAACGAUGUCUACUAGCCGUUGGAGAUCUUGAAUCUUUAGUGGCGCAGCUAACGCGAUAAGUAGACCGCCUGGGGAGUACGGCCGCAAGGUUAAAACUCAAAUGAAUUGACGGGGGCCCGCACAAGCGGUGGAGCAUGUGGUUUAAUUCGACGCAACGCGAAGGACCUUACCUGGCCUUGACAUCCUGCGAACUUUCUAGAGGUAGAUUGGUGCCUUCGGGAGCGCAGAGACAGGUGCUGCAUGGCUGUCGUCAGCUCGUGUCGUGAGAUGUUGGGUUAAGUCCCGUAACGAGCGCAACCCUUGUCCUUAGUUGCUAGCAGGUUAAGCUGAGAACUCUAAGG
rnacentral:rRNA from 1 species